UUCCGUCGAGUAUAAAUCGUCUAUCAAGUUCAUUAAAAUAACUGAUAGAUGAACUUCGAUUCAUUUCGUUGCCACUUAUAUAGGAGAUUCAAAUUCAUAGAACAUCUCGUGACAAUCGAUGACAGUUAAAAUAAUUUGAAUUACGUAUAAUGAACAGAAUUUUUUUUAAUCUGACGUUCGGAAACCGGAGAGCUUCGUACGGCCCUGUAAUUGAUAGCAGGUGUUUAAGAAAGCAAUAAGAAUCUCCCGUAGCACGGGGGAUGAAUAAAACUGGGGUAGCCGAGGGACCGACAAAAGGCGUUGUCGAUAUUUAAUUAGCGGUGCGUUUUGUACGACGUCUUACGUGCCAAUAAUGAAAUAACUGAUUUGAAAUGCAAAUGUUUGAAUCCGUCACUGGGUGGACGACCACCGUUAGCCGCCUCCGCCACCUCCCUGGCCUAUUGAUCGACCCCCGAGCGAGCAAGAAAACGCGAGACCAGAUGCGCCAUAACACUGCCAGGCUCCCGUGAAGGCGAGACCGACACGUUCGCCGACAGGGUUGCACGCGCUUCCGGUGUCGGAAUACCAUGCCAACCCCCUGCCGCGCUGCUUACCGACAUCAACCCCGUUCCUCAGCAUAUUUUCACGUUUCUCCAUCGUCGAACUCAUCUCCCUCCCAUUUUCAAUGCUCUCCCGAUCUCGUAUGAGAUGUAAUAUCGGAUUCUAUCGCGUGUAAAUCAGUUAUCAAUAUUUUAUAAUAUGUAAACGCAGCCGUGCGAGAUGAUACGGAGGAGGUCCAUACUUUUAAGUGAGAAUAUGUUGGCGUGUUUAAUGCUUGUAAUUGUAAUGUAGUAAAAAUUCAGAAGUGCACGUCUACACGAGUAGUACAGGUGUGAAUUUUUUCAAAGUUCAUCCAUUAUUUAUAUUAAAAAAAAUUCAUGAAACUCGAGGACUUGACGUAUGACUUGAACUACUUUGGGAACAAUUUUUCUCCGUUAGUGAAUGAGAUAGCUAAAUCAAAAGUGGGAGUUAAAAGUUACACCGGGGAACCUCCACCCUUUUAUUAACCCACUCGAAUUGUAUGACGUCCAGGACACGAGACUUUUUGGCAUACAAGUCAUAGGAUGACCUUAGAUCGCAACCUUUCGGUGCUCCAUAUAAAUGAAUGUAAUUGAGAUAUUUAAAUGUUGCAUCACUAGGUUAAUAGUUCUCAUGCAAAAUGAAAUAUUUAUGUAAUUCACUGAGACACAUUUUGGUAUAUAUUAUUUAUUAUCCAAAAUCGACGGUGUGGUUAUUAGUUCACGAUUGGCCCUCUGGUAUUUCAAUUUAACCGAUAUGCCACGUGUAUAAUUAUGGACUAGCCCGUGUAGUUAUCAGCACCUAAUUAAGAACCCUUCCACGACGGGUGGCAAACAAGGUGCGUCACACAUGAUACACGAAUGACUCAUCGAAAAAUAAAAUAUAAUUAUUCGACUGGCUCCUCCGUUAUUUGAUUAUCAUUAAUUAGAAGGAGUACUAAUUGUUACUGAUAAGCUUAUCUGUUUUUCGCAUAGCCGUAUUGCACUUCGAAUCUUCGCUCGAAAUAGUACAGUGUGAGCUGUGGCAUAAAAACGAAAACCACUCACUAUUCAGAAUAGAGAAUGAACGAGGCUCGGUUAUUCUUGCGCGACACCUAUUUCAAACGCCCUUUUUUCAUACUUACUCUUCUCAUAGCGUGUGAAAGAAAGGUUGUUAAGAAGAGACGGCGCUAGGUAUUAAAAAUAACGGCUCAAUAAACGUUAUUCUAGAAAGCUGAUUAUGCUGAUCAGAUAUCGUUAUCGGAUAGAAAAUAAGUAAAGCGGGACGUGUAAUUGUUGAGUCGAACUUACAGCGCGUAAUAGAAGAACUCGUUCUUGAACGGAGCAAAAAGUAACGACGAUAUAAUUAUGCAAAUUCAGAUUUCUAUAUUGAAGGAACUCGAGGUUCUAGAAUUCGUUACUUGUUCCUUGCGCAGUUCGAGUAUUUUUAGAGUUAAACACGGACGAACAUCCGUAGUUUAUUGACAAAUUAUAAUACAAAUAAAGAGGCGGAGUCUAUAGAAAGCAGAGAACAAGCAGAAAAUGAAGAGACAGAGGGAAACGAUUAAAUGUUAAAGAAACUCGUUAACGAAGUAAAUUCGUAUAUAAAAAAACGUGUCUGUACGAUUCUAUUAAAAUAUGUAAAGUCGAAUCGAGUCGACGUCCCGAGCGAGCGACGAAGAAACGGCGACCUUUGACAUUAGCUGAGAAGACUCGCCCGUUUGAAUCCCCUCGGCCCUCUUUCAAUAUUCCUUGCUGUAAAUCAACAAUGUUACCGGCGGCGAGCGCGGCCUAUUUACCAGAGAUGAAAGCCCCGAAAAAAACGAGUAUCAAAUUCGUCCAUCAAAAGAAUAGAGGAUUGCGGAAAGUUAGUGACGCGCGCUACUCUUCGCGAGUCGGCACAAAAUGGAUCGCUCGAUGGACGGUGAAAACCGUCCCCCUUUGUGCACAGAAACGACGUAUGAAAGACAUUUUUAUGAAUAGUCAAGCACGUUUCGAUUCUCGCGGAUUAAAUCCGAGGACUUUUUCCGACUCUUCGACCAUUCAAGGAUAGAAUACCGUCCAAUUCUCCUUCGAACAACAAAAUAAUGCUCCGCGAUUCAUUUCAUUACCCUGAACGAGCAUCUCGCCAGUUUGGCAGUACGAAUAUAGAUAUACGAGCUGAGCAAAGAUGUCCAAGUCGCGAAUGGUCAUCGUAAGUACACGUUUGCUGACGUCAAAGCACGUCGCUUUGGAGGAGAGUGCCGGCACAUGUACACAUAGUGACGUAAGCAGAAAAUAUCUCCGGGCAAUGGACGAGGAGGGCAGAAGAUGAGGCUCGCUCGUAGCGAUGGGCUCGACGCCGUUCUUAAUUGCGAGCCUCGCUGGGAAUCUUCAUGGAAUACCCAUCGCUACCCACCGUCGACCUACCCGCUGGAGGAUCCACGCUCGCGGAGAUCGAGUCGUUCCGUGCAAUGCAAACAUCUGGAACCCGCUCCUCCGCAGACGUCGUUAGAGAGACGAGAGGCGCCGUUAGAAAACGAGCGAGUGUGCGACGACGACUCGUUACGCUUUUAUCCCCUCGAGUAGCUCGUACAAUCGCGGCUCGAACAGAACCGAAAGACAGAAACAUGAUCUUUGAUCCGUCGCAAAGGCUCACAAUGGUUCUCGUGCGAUUUAUAUAUUAGAGAGGUGCGAUAAAACUAUUUUAUGGCUUGGUACUGUGGAAUUUAUGAACUAUGAAACCGAGCGCGUGACAAAUCAAACAAGUAAACAGAGAUAAAUUGCACAGAUGUAAUCAACCUCUGGGAGGCAAAUAAGAUUGGACACUGCGUUCGUCUCCGACAAUUUUUAUAUUGGAAUAGUCUGAUAUUAAAAUGGGUAUCGAAGCUACAAGAGUCGCAGCCAGUCGGCCAGCAAUAAUCUCAGCGUUAUUUUCAUUGGUUCACCGGAUACAGCGUAUCCGGUCUUUGAACAACGUGCGGUCAGGAACGCAACGUUUCUGGACUCUCGGACGGAUAAUGUGAGAGCAGUCGUAAUAUGCUCGAUUCUCUUCUUCACUACUUUAAUUACAUUAA